GCAUGCGCUUGCACGGGUUGCACUCCGUCGGCAUGGUCGGUCGGCGAUCGAGUUCCUGAUCGGCCGUUCCGCCGUCCCUUCUUGGUCGCCGGAGUAGAUUAGAGUCGCCGGCUACGAUGAUUGCAUGUCGCGGUUGUUAGGAUCCAGGAUCGAUUCGGGUGUUGAUGGAUGAUUGAAAUGUGGGAUUCUUAUGGGUGGUGAUGGUUGAGGACCUGGACGUACGUGGUGCUCAC
rnacentral:lncRNA from 1 species